UACGAAGGGGGCUAGCGUUGCUCGGAAUCAUUGGGCGUAAAGGGUGCGUAGGCGGCGCGGUAAGUCGGGUGUGAAAUCUCGGAGCUCAACUCCAGAACUGCCUUUGAUACUGGCGAUCUUGAGUCCGGGAGAGGUGAGUGGAACUGCGAGUGUAGAGGUGAAAUUCGUAGAUAUUCGCAAGAACACCAGUGGCGAAGGCGGCUCACUGGCCCGGUACUGACGCUGAGGUGCGAAAGCGUGGGGAGCAGACGGG
rnacentral:rRNA from 1 species